GAAAAAGUUGUGAUUGCCAAGUUAAAUGCUGACAAAUACAGAAAACUUGCUGAGAAAUAUGAAGUUGAUGGGUUUCCUACUCUGAAGCUCUUUAUGCAUGGUAUCCCUAUGGAUUACACGGGCUCCAGGAAAGCUGAUUUACUUGUUAGAUUUUUGAGGAAGUUUGUCGCACCUAAUGUUUCACUUCUCGAGUCAUAUGUUGAAAUUCGUAGCUUUGUUGAAACAGCUGGAACACACUUCCCUAUAUUCAUUGGCUUUGGCUUAAACGAAUCUCUGUUCUCUGAAUCUGCUAUUAAAUAUAAGAAAAAUGCAUGGUUUUCUGUAGCAAAAGGUUUC
rnacentral:misc_RNA from 1 species